UACUUGACAGAGCUAUAUGAAAGGUGUCUUGUGGUUGCAAAUUCGUAUAUAGAUAGAGCUCAAUUACAUCGACCCUCUCUCAUAUUACAUUGACCCUUGCCCUUUGUUGAUGGUUGUUCGUUCCAGGGGCUAGCGAUCAAGAAAUUAAGAGAUAGGGAGUCCCUACCCUAUAGUAACACCGGGAGACAGAGAACCACCAAAGAAAUAAGGUCAGGUCGGGGGCCUAACUUGAAACAUCAUCUUUGAAAUGCCUCAUUCUCUUUA
rnacentral:lncRNA from 1 species